rnacentral:rRNA from 1 species
GACGAACGCUGGCGGCGUGCCUAAUACAUGCAAGUCGUGCUGACCUUGUUGAAAGCUUGCUUUUAAAUGGUUAGCGGCUGACGGGUUUGUAACACGUGUGCAACCUGCCUGUAAGACUGGGAUAACGCCGGGAAACCGGGGCUAAUACCAGAUCGUUUUUUCCUCCGCAUUGUGUAAAAAGUAAAGGCGGCUUCCGCUGCCUCUUACAGAUGGGCCCGCGGCGCAUUAGCUAGUUGGCGGGGUAAUGCCCCACCAAGGCAACGAUCCGUAGCCGACCUGAGAGGGUGAUCGGCCACAUUGGGACUGAGAAACGGCCCAAACUCCUACGGGAGGCAGCAGUAGGGAAUCUUCCGCAAUGGACGAAAGACUGACGGAGAAACGACGCGUGAGUGAAGAAGGCAAUCGGGUCGUAAAACUCUGUUGCCGGGGAAGAAAAAGUGCCGUUCGAACAGGGCGGAGAAUUGACGGUACCAGGACAGAAAGCCACGGCUAACUACGUG